AGAGUUUGAUCCUGGCUCAGAUUGAACGCUGGCGGCAUGCCUUACACAUGCAAGUCAAACGGCAGCACGGGAGCAAUCCUGGUGGCGAGUGGCGAACGGGUGAGUAAUAUAUCGGAACGUGCCCAGUCGUGGGGGAUAACGCAGCGAAAGCUGUGCUAAUACCGCAUACGAUCUCUGGAUGAAAGCGGGGGACUCGCAAGGGCCUCGCGCGAUUGGAGCGGCCGAUAUCAGAUUAGCUAGUUGGUGGGGUAAAAGCCCACCAAGGCGACGAUCUGUAGCUGGUCUGAGAGGACGACCAGCCACACUGGAACUGAGACACGGUCCAGACUCCUACGGGAGGCAGCAGUGGGGAAUUUUGGACAAUGGGCGCAAGCCUGAUCCAGCAAUGCCGCGUGCAGGAUGAAGGCCUUCGGGUUGUAAACUG
rnacentral:rRNA from 1 species